UAGUCCACGCCGUAAACGAUGUCAACUAGCCGUUGGGAGCAUAUAAGCUCUGAGUGGCGCAGCUAACGCGAUAAGUUGACCGCCUGGGGAGUACGCCGGCAACGGUAAAACUCAAAGGAAUUGGACGGGGGCCCGCACAAGCGGUGGAGCAUGUGGUUUAAUUCGAUGAUACGCGAGGAACCUUACCAGGGUUUAAAUGCAGAACGAUCGGGGUGGAAACACCCUUUUCUUCGGACGGUCUGCAAGGUGCUGCAUGGUUGUCGUCAGCUCGUGCCGUGAGGUGUCGGGUUAAGUCCCAUAACGAGCGCAACCCCUAUCAUUAGUUGCCAGCGGGUAAUGCCGGGGACUCUAAUGAAACUGCCAGUGUAAGCUGUGAGGAAGGUGGGGAUGACGUCAAAUCAUCACGGCCCUUACAUCCUGGGCCACACACGUGCUACAAUGGUAGGUACAGAGGGCAGCUACCCAGCGAUGGGAUGCGAAUCUCUAAAGCCUGCCUCAGUUCGGAUUGGG
rnacentral:rRNA from 1 species